AGGGGCUUAGGAUAGCAUAAGACCAAGAACCUUCAAAGCUCUAAGCAGAAGUGAAAACCUUCUAGCCCCUG
rnacentral:tRNA from 1 species